GAAACCAACAGGGAUUGCCUUAGUAACGGCGAGUGAAGCGGCAACAGCUCAAAUUUGAAAUCUGGCCCUCGGGUCCGAAUUGUAAUUUGUAGAGGAUGAUUUUGGUGCGGUAUCUUCCGAGUUCCUUGGAACAGGACGCCUUAGAGGGUGAGAGCCCCGUACGGUUGAAUAGCCCAGCCUCUGUAAAUCUCCUUCGACGAGUCGAGUAGUUUGGGAAUGCUGCUCUAAAUGGGAGGUAAAUUUCUUCUAAAGCUAAAUAUUGGCCAGAGACCGAUAGCGCACAAGUAGAGUGAUCGAAAGAUGAAAAGCACUUUGAAAAGAGGGUUAAAUAGCACGUGAAAUUGUUGAAAGGGAAGGAUUUGUGACCAGACUUUUUCUUGGCGGAUCAUCCGGGGUUCUCUCCGGUGCACUUCGCCCAGUAAAGGCCAGCAUCGGUUUUCGGCGGGGGAUAAAAGCAGUAGGAAUGUGGCUCUCUACGGGAGUGUUAUAGCCCACUGUAUAAUACCGUGCUGGGGACCGAGGAUCGCGCUUCUGCAAGGAUGCUGGCGUAAUGGUUGUCAAUCACCCGUCUUGAAACACGGACCAAGGAGUCGAACAUUUGUGCGAGUGUUUGGGUGUUAAACCCUCACGCGUAAUGAAAGUGAACGGAGGUGAGAGCCCUUACGGGUGCAUCAUCGACCGAUCCUGAAGUUUUCGGAUGGAUUUGAGUAAGAGCAUAACUGUUCGGACCCGAAAGAUGGUGAACUAUGCGUGGAUAGGGUGAAGCCAGAGGAAACUCUGGUGGAGGCUCGCAGCGGUUCUGACGUGCAAAUCGAUCGUCAAAUCUGCGCAUGGGGGCGAAAGACUUAUCGAACCAUCUAGUAGCUGGUUACCG
rnacentral:rRNA from 1 species